ACCAGACUCCUACGGGAGGCAGCAGUGAGGAAUAUUGGUCAAUGGUCGGGAGACUGAACCAGCCAAGCCGCGUGAGGGAGGAAGGUACAGAGUAUCGUAAACCUCUUUUGUCAGGGAACAAAGGCGGGGACGUGUCCCCGGAUGAGUGUACCUGAAGAAAAAGCAUCGGCUAACUCCGUGCCAGCAGCCGCGGUAAUACGGAGGAUGCGAGCGUUAUCCGGAUUUAUUGGGUUUAAAGGGUGCGUAGGCGGCCUGUUAAGUCGGGGGUAAAAGCCGGGGGCCCACCCCCGGCGAGCCGUUGAAACUGGCUGUCUUGAGAUGUCGAGAGGUAUGCGGAAUGCGCGGUGUAGCGGUGGAAUGCAUAGAUAUCGCGCAGAACUCCGAUUGCGAAGGCAGCAUGCCGGCUCCACACUGACGCUGAGGCACGAAAGCGUGGGUAUCGAACAGGAUUAGAUACCCCCGUAA
rnacentral:rRNA from 1 species